rnacentral:rRNA from 1 species
AGCCACCUUCGGGUGGUGGACAGUGGCAGACGGGUGAGUAACGCGUGGGAACGUGCCUUUCGGUUCGGGAUAACCCAGGGAAACUUGGGCUAAUACCGGAUACGCCCUUCGGGGGAAAGAUUCAUUGCCGAAAGAUCGGCCCGCGUCGGAUUAGCUAGUUGGUGGGGUAAAAGCCUACCAAGGCGACGAUCCGUAGCUGGUCUGAGAGAAUGACCAGCCACACUGGGACUGAGACACGGCCCAGACUCCUACGGGAGGCAGCAGUGGGGAAUAUUGGACAAUGGGCGCAAGCCUGAUCCAGCCAUGCCGCGUGGGUGAAGAAGGCCUUAGGG